rnacentral:rRNA from 1 species
GGCGAACGCUGGCGGCGUGCUUAACACAUGCAAGUCGAACGGAAAGGCCCUGCUUUUGCGGGGUGCACGAGUGGCGAACGGGUGAGUAACACGUGAGUAACCUGCCCCUGACUUUGGGAUAACUUCAGGAAACUGGGGCUAAUACCGGAUAGGAGCUCCUGCUGCAUGGUGGGGGUUGGAAAGUUUCGGCGGUUGGGGAUGGACUCGCGGCUUAUCAGCUUGUUGGUGGGGUAGUGGCUUACCAAGGCUUUGACGGGUAGCCGGCCUGAGAGGGUGACCGGCGACAUUGGGACUGAGAUACGGCCCAGACGCCUACGGGAGGCAGCAGUGGGGAAUAUGGCACAAUGGGCGGAAGCCUGAUGCAGCAGCGCCGCGUGCGGGAUGACGGCCUUCGAGUUGUAAACCGCUUUCGCCGGUGACGAGGCGGGAGUGACGGUAAUGAGUAAAGAAGCACCGGCUAACUACGUG